rnacentral:rRNA from 1 species
GUCUAUGGCCAUGCUACCCUGAACAAGCCCGAUCCCUUCUGAUCUCGGAAGCUAAGCAGGAUCGGGCCUGGUUAGUACUUGGAUGAGAGACUACCUAGGAAGACCAGGUGCUGUAAGCU